GAUGAACGCUGGCGGCGUGCUUAACACAUGCAAGUCGAACGAGAAGUGAAGACGGAAACCUUCGGGCGGAAGGCUUUAUUUCGAGUGGCGGACGGGUGAGUAACGCGUGGGUAACCUGCCUCAUACAGGGGGAUAACAGUUGGAAACGACUGUUAAUACCGCAUAAGACCACAGCACCGCAUGGUGCGGGGGUAAAAACUCCAGUGGUAUGAGAUGGACCCGCGUUCGAUUAGCCAGUUGGCGGGGUAACGGCCCACCAAAGCGACGAUCGAUAGCCGAUCUGAGAGGAUGACCGGCCACAUUGGGACUGAGACACGGCCCAAACUCCUACGGGAGGCAGCAGUGGGGAAUAUUGCACAAUGGGGGAAACCCUGAUGCAGCGACGCCGCGUGAGUGAAGAAGUAUUUCGGUAUGUAAAGCUCUAUCAGCAGGGAAGAAAAUGACGGUACCUGAGGAAGAAGCCCCGGCUAACUACGUG
rnacentral:rRNA from 1 species